UACAGGGGGGGCAAGCGUUGUUCGGAAUUACUGGGCGUAAAGGGUCUGUAGGUGGCCAACUAAGUCAGACGUGAAAUCCCUCAGCUUAACUGGGGAACUGCGUCUGAUACUGGAUGGCUUGAGUGUGGGAGAGGAAUGCGGAAUUCCAGGUGUAGCGGUGAAAUGCGUAGAUAUCUGGAGGAACACCGGUGGCGAAGGCAGCUCUCUGGGACGGUACUGACGCUGAGACGCGAAAGCGUGGGGAGCGAACAGG
rnacentral:rRNA from 1 species